UAGUUACUCCCUCCGUUCCGAAUUACUUGUCGUAGGUAUGGAUGUAUCUAGAUGUAUUUUAGUUCUAGAUACAUCCAUUUCUGUGACGAGUAAUUUGGAACGGAGGGAGUAGCUC
rnacentral:pre_miRNA from 1 species